rnacentral:lncRNA from 1 species
AAGGCCAACAGACAGGUCUAGCCAUGGACCAGAAAAUGACCAUUGUAUCCAACUUCUUCAGUGGAGGAUCCAGUGAGCCAUAUUUUUCCCCAGUGGAAACGUCGCUCUUUCUCAUAGGAAGGAUAUCAGUGGGUAUUGGCACUGGAAAGUUAAACUUUUCCCAUGCUUAUUAAAAUGGAUUUUCAUACAAUUUAGCUGGUUCUUUUGUUCGUUUGAAGCCCAUCUCUUGAAUCUGUUGAGAUAGUUUUGGUUUCUGCUCCUGUCUUCUGAAGUAUUGGCUAUCCUCCCAAUUUGGUGUUGUCUGCAAACGUGAUUAUCGUGCCUUCUAACCCUUCAUCUAAAGAUGUUGAACAGAACCGGUUCCAGGACUGAACCCUGCUCUGGCACUCUGCUCGUCACUUCUUUCCAGGAUGAAGAGGAAGCAUUGGUGAACACCCCUUGGGAUCCUUGACUUAACCACUUACAGAUCCACCUAACCGUAAUUUUGCCUAGCCCACAUUUGACUAGUUUGUUUGCCAGAAGGUCAUGGGGGAUCUUGUCAAAGGCCUUAAAGGUCCCUGGUAAGUGAUGCGGGGCAUGGAGCGACACUUUCUCUACUCUUCCCGCUGGGACCCCAUGGAUUCACCAUGAUGCGUGACAAAUCCAUAGACCUUUGUGAUGAGGUCCUACGACAAAUUCAUCUUGCUAUCCUGGGAGCGGCGGGAGCGGCCGCUGUUAGCUCCAGCUCCUGCCAACCUAGCAGUUCGAAAACAUGCUAAUGUGAGUAGAUCAAUAGGUACCGCUCCGGCGGGAAGGUAACAGCACUCCAUGCAGUCAUGCUGGCCACAUGACCUUGGAGUGUCUACGGACAACGCUAGCCCUUCGGCUUAGAAAUGGAGAUGAGCACCAACCCCCAGAGUCAGACAUGACUGGACUUAACGUCAGGGGAAACCUUUACCUUUACCUUCUCUGGGUGGAAGAGGGGAUGUGACUACAGUAUAGAUAGAGGUAAUUCUGAUACAUUCACUGGGCCUUUAUAGCAAAUGAACACUAGAUAUUGAGGAAUUAAAUUAGUCCCCUAUGUGACUUCCUAUCCAGUAACUACCUGUUUUGUAUAAAAACACCCAAUAGUCUGAAAAAAGACUCUAAAAGGAUGAGGCUCCCAGCAAAGUGGUACACAUAAUCAACAAUGCCCCACAAGGCUUGGUUAUGGUAUUGUCAUUUGGUGACAGAAACACUUAAAUUUCCAAAUUUUGGGAAGUGGUCAGGAGGACUUUUAGAAAUUCCAAAUGGCCUCAAGAACCAAGUGCACCCCAGGGGAUGAGGAAGUGGAUCUUGGCUCUGAAAUCUGACAGUCCUCUUUUACAUGUUGCUGCGUGUCUCCCAAGUUGUUUCCAAAUUGUGGCGACCCAGAAAUGAACCUAUCAUGGGGGUUUUCCCGGCAAGAUUUGUUCAGCGAGGGAUUUCCCUUUGCCUUCCUCUGAGGCUGAGAGUG